UCAAAUCAUCCUCCUGCCUCAGCCUCUCAAAGUGUUGGGUUUACAGGCAUGAGCCAUUGCACCUGGCCUGUAAUUUUAUUAGAAUGCGAUAUUGUGGAGAUUCUAUGGGACUUGACUGUCUCAAGGGCUAAUGACCUGACUCCAUCACCAGCAGUUUCUUCCUUCUUUUAAUAAACGUUGAACACCUACUAUGGUCUGGGCGUUUUCUUAGACACUGUGUAUGUAAUGGUGAGAAAAGUCAGACUUGAUACCUGGAAUACCAAAUUACUAAGGGAGUCAGAUAUUUGUAAAAAUAUCACACAAAAAACGCAAAAGUUCUGGGUGACAAACUGUUACGAAGGAGUGGUAUUUGUUGCUCCAAUGGUGUGGAAGGUGUGGCAGGGCAGAGAAAGCCGCUCUCAGGAAGGGCUACCAGCUACCAGCUGCCAGUUGGAGAUGAGUGGGAGGGUGGUGGUGAAAAGGAGAAGGAACUGUUGUGGGGUUUGGGAUUUUAUUUUGCUUUACAUAUAAGCUUGUAAGUUAGAGUGCUACUGAUUCAUGGAUGCUGGCAGAAGACACGAGACUCCUGGAUCAGAGACAAAGGACUUCAUGACUCACAGCACAAUAAGUAGCCUGCGCUUCAGCAUGUGUGUUCCCUUGCCUCAAGUCCCAUGGACGACAUGGUGGGUUUGUGUUACAGUUGAGGAACACAGAGCUUGGGAACCAACCAUUUCAUAGCAAGCAGGAAGAAGGCCUGCUCUUUGUGUGGAGGGAAACAUUGCCUUGUCCCUAAAGGAUGCUGGCUGCAAACACAGCCCUGAAAAAGGGCCCCGGGUGAAGAGCAGUCAGGGACUCACAUCCUUGGCAUCUGUGGUACAUUUGCUUUCAUUUUUUUAUUGCUGCUGUAAUAAAUUACCACAAAUUCAGGGGCUUAACACAGCACCCAUUCAUCAUCUCACAGCUCUGUGGAUCAGAAAUCCAGAGGGACCUUGCUGUUCUCUGCUCAGGGUCUUACAAGACCACAAUCAGGGUGUCAGCUGGCUUGACUUCUUAGCUGGAGUUUCUGGGGGAGAACCCACUUCUCUCCUAUUCAGGUGUUUGGUAGAACACAGCUCUGGUGGCUGCAGGAUUGAGGCCCUGUUUCCUUGCUGGUUGUUGGCCAGGGGUGUUUCCAGCUUCCUGAGGCUGUUGCUGCCUCCUCAGGAGCUCUGCUCCAGCCUCAAAGUAUCAAUGACAGGUCAUACCCCUCUCAUGCUUCAAUGUCUCUGACUUCCCUUUCUGCCACCAGCUGGAGAAAAUGCUCCACUCUUAGGAGCUCAUAGGAUGACACUGGGUGAUUGCACUUGGAUAAUCCAGGCUCAUCUCCGUGUCUUAAAGUCAAAGAUGCCACAGACCCUAACAUAACCAUGGCAAUGACAUCUCCCCAUAGUCACAGUUUCUGGGGAUGAUGAUGUGGAAUGUUGGGUGUGCAGUGGGGGCACUUUUAUAACUCUACCUCUCGUGCCUGGCAAGAGGUGUAGGUGUGUGAGAGAUCCCUGGAGGACAAAGGUGAGCUCUGGGCAGAGGGAGCAGCCUGUGCCGCGUCUGUGCAUGGUUCCCUGUGAACUUGUGUGAUGCUCAGAUGGUUCUGUGGUGGCUCUGGAGUCAUGCAGAGGAGGAUUUGAGAUCUGGCUCCACUGCUGUGUGACCUUGAACAAGUCACUUCACCUCAUAUUGCUUCUGUUUCUCCCCCUCAAAUGGGCGCUUAUACAGGAUGGAGGAUGCAGGGUUGCUGUGAAGGUGGAAUGAGUUUAGCACAGUAUUUGGCUGCUGGGGGCAGCCUCCUGGUCUGCAGAUGCAGGAUGGACCACCCUCCCCCCAAAACCUUGUCCGAUGCAGAGAGGAACAGGACGCACACCGGGAGGUAGGAAAAGUUGAUUACUUGCAUCAUGGGGCUUCCUGGGGAGAGCAGAGCAGACUUACCAGCAGGUUUGAAAAUGGUUGGAGAGUACAGGGAAAAGAGGCUGGUUGGGGUUUUUACGGGGGCUGGGGUGGGUCUGGAGGAUGGCUUGAACGGCUCCCUCAUGCCAAAGGGAAGAGCACCUGGGCUUUCUUACUAGCUUCCCCAAAUGGGGGGCAGAGGGACAGAUUUCAAAGGAGUCAGCAGGCAGACAUGAAAAAGUGGGGUCAGACUCUUUAAUACGCUGACAUUUGGUAGGACCCAAUAAAUGUGAGCCAUUGUUUUUGUACCCUCCUCCCCAGUGGCCAUCCAGCAGCAGCCCAGGUUCAGCCCUGGCCGUGCACCCCUCCUGCUGGGCACCCUACGUCCAGGGCCUCUGGUGGGGCCGGCCCUGCCCCAUAGCGCCAUGCUUCCCACAGCACGAGUGGCUACUCCUUCCCUCCUGGGUCAACACUGCCUGUGUAUUCUCAAAGGACAGUUAUAGUCACACAUCGAGAAGCAAGAUUUACUUCCUAAUUAAAAGGGAGCUUUCUGAACAGUAAAUCAAUCAAUCAUAGCCAUGCACAAACGCUCAGACAACAGUUGCUUACACUUGUGUUUAAUUUCUCAGGGGGAACAAACAGCUCUCUCUGGGUGCCUGGGAUUCCAGGUCUGUGGCUUACCCAAGAGCCCUCAUUUGAAUUUCAUCUAAUCAGAAUCAUUACCCACCCAUGAAGAACACAGCUUAUUAACCACACGAUCAUCGUCUAAAACUAAAGCUCUGUCAGGUCACCUCAUAGUCAUGCAAUUAGGCUCAGCAAGCAUAAAAUCCAGAAUUAUUUUGAGACCCAUUUUUAAAGUUUAAACAAAUGGUCCCAGAAAGAUAUUAAACAGUAUUUUUUCUGUGGAUAUCACAGAAGUUUAAUUUAUUUUGUGUUAUUUUGAAGGAGCGCCCAGCAUUCUCUUGAGCCCUGGCAACGGCCAGAUUUAAACAUGGAUAGGUGCUGAAAUAAAUGUAGUUCACUUAAUUGAAAAGCCUGCUGAUGGCCUAACUCUAUGGGCAGCAGAAUCACGUUCAUUAACAACAACAACAACAAGAGCAGCAGCAAUAAAAGUAGCACCAGCCAGCCUUUGUUGAACCUCUUGGCCACGCCAGAUGUUUCGGCAGGUACUUUACCACCAGCGUCUCUUUUGAUCUUCACUCUGUUUCUGAAGAAUCUCUUGCUUUGCUGCAAGAGAUGAAACUAACAUUGUGUCUGCACAUCUGCUCUCUGCCAAGCCCUUUCCCCACGCGUCCUUCCGUCACCCCCGUGGGUCCCCAUGUCACAGCUGGGGAAGGCAGAAGUCUGAGAAGUCCAAUCACCUGCCCAAGGCCACACCCCUGGAGUGGGGAGUUUCGGGAUUUGAACGCAGACCAGCCCUACUCCUGAGUCUCCUCCUCCCACCCGCUCUGCUGCCCCUCCUUUUCUGCUGAUUCAAGAGAAGGCAUUUCCAGCCCUUGGUGGGCCUCUACAAAUAGUUUUUAGGUGAUAACUUGGGGCUAGGGGUUGUGGAUUAUUUUUCUGGCUCUGUCCCCAAACUAAAAAUGACAAAUGUCACCUGGAAGGCUGAUGCAGCUUCUGUAAUUUUUUGAAACUUAAAUAAUUUUUACUGAUACCUAUGAGUAAAAAUUGGGUCCUCAUAUAUUGGUGGAUCAUGGUCUUCUCAGUCCCUUGUCCUGGGAACAUCUCCAUUGAGCUUCUCAUGCUACUGCAGGUGGCUUAAUCAGAGAAAGGGAGAUGGUGAGAGAGAGAGAAGGAAAAGGAGAGAGAGAAAGAGAGAGAGAGAGAGAGAGAGAGAAAGAGAGGAGCAAGCUGGCAAGAUGGAAGUCAGUCUUUUGUAACCUAAUCUGGGAAGUGACAGCCUAUCACUUUUGACAUAUUCUAUUCAUAGAAAAGAAUCACUACAUCCCACCCACCCUCAAGGGGCAAGGACUACCCACGGGUGUGAAUAUCAGGAGGUGAGGAUCCUGGGACCAUCUCAGAGGCUGCCUGCCACAUUGGCCAAAGUGAAUUGAAGCUCUCUGAUAAUUACAACCACCCAUGAGGUCGUGAAAACUUCAUUUUCAGUUUCUGUAGCGGGCUUGUUUUGUUAACUGUCUUUACCAUGCAGCUUCUAUUCCCCCUACUUUUGGGAACCACCUCCAGAUUUCCAUCUGGGGAGACGUCUUCCUCCGGUUUGACUUAUGUGCCCUGUGUGCUGUGGCCUACUCCAUCUCAGGGGUGGAGCCAAGGACUAAGCCAAUCAGUGCACUUCAUGUAUUGGGCCACACUGAUGGGUUCAGGAAGGGACAUGUUACCCAGUUGGAGUCAAUGAGACUUUUGUUGGGAAUCCUGGGAAACAGCCUCUGGGUGUUCUUCCUGUUCUACUUGAUGCUGAAAGCAAGAGAAGUGGGGAGCUGCUGCACCUUUGUGACCACGAGGCACGUGAAGUUCCGGUGGAUGCUGCACUGCCUCCUACUGCAGAGUCAUGAUGCAGUGUGGGAAGGGGUUGGCUUGUUCGGCCCAAGGGAGAUAAAGCCAUGAUUUACUCAGGAAUGAGGACGAGAUUCAUUUCUGGCCAAUGAGAUACCCCAGAGGAGCUGCAGGGAUGAGUGGGAAGCCCUCCCCUCUUUCUAUUGCCAGAGGUGAACAAGAAUGCAUGUGUGACCUGGGCCGCUGACAGUGUCCCAGCCAGGAAGAAAGCCAGCCUUUGACGAGGCUGGUGUUGGGAGUGGCAUGGCUGAGCGAGGUGGUUAAAAGCAUGCAGAUCCUUGGGACUUUAAGUUACUAGACUAGCCCUGGUGCUCUGCCUACCUCGAGGCUCCCUCUUUGUGAUCUAAGAAAUUGCCUUAUCAUUGCAACAAUGCUGAGUCAUGUUACUUGCAGCUGAAAGCAGUCGGAUAGACCAACCUGAAGGAAAUUAGAGAGCAGGAAAACCCUGGGUCUUGGUGAUAUUGUUUGAAUCCCUGAUCAAGCUGUGCCUGAAACCAGACCUACGUUUGAGUUUUCCAGUUACAUGAGUCAAAACGUUCCUUUUAUACUUAGACUAGGGGUUCAGUUUCUUCCUCUUACAACCAAGAGAGUCCUGAUCCAAGUUCAUAACUAAAGGCAGAUCCAAAAGAACCAACCUUACAGUAUUUUCUGUUGAUGGAAACAUUUUAUGCUCAAAAUCUCUUAUCAGUUUCAAUUUCUAAAAUGCUCUAAAACCUAGAAAUAUUCUCAUUAGUUUGACACCAAGACACAUUUGUUGGCAAAACCUGAACCAAACUCAUAUGUGGCUCCUUUGAGUCUUUAUUUCAAAGUGUGAAUAUUCCUAAGUUUUGCUACAAAAUAUUAGUGGAUUUCAUUUCAAGGGGCUGCCUCAGACCUUGCCGGAGGGGUUAUAUAUAAUAUAUAGCAUAUGCAGUUUCUAAAAUGCACAAAAUUGUAAAUUCCCCAACAAUCUGGUCCCAGGUUUUGGGUACAGAAAACCCAGAGUCCAUCAUGACAGUAAUACUGAGGUGUGGGUCAACGUGUAAGGGACGAGCUGUGUUUUCCAGUAAUUUUGUUGUUUAGUUGAUCAUGUCAUUUUCUUCUAACUCAAACUUAAAGAGUUUCUAAUUUGUCUUGGGCUGAAAUGUGCUUGUGACAGCAUCUAUUCCGAGUCUCCAACCUAAUUAUGUUUUGCAUCAUUCCAGAGAUGGUUCAUUUUGACCGAGGCCCGUCUGGUGGUUCAUUGCUGUGAUGUAUUUCGGCAUCAUGGACGCAGGUUCACCAGCCUCGUCUCGACCUUGGAAAUGUUGUGGUAUUUUACAGUGUGUGGUGACAUUUAUCGGCCCAUUUGGACACCCACAAAGAGGUUGAUUUCCAUAGAUUAAAUGUCAAGUUUGAAGCCAUCCAGGGUAAUUGAAUCCUUGAAUGUUGUCCACUUCGAUUCUCAGCUGAGGCCGUUGACUGGACUUUGUGCUCUGUUACAAACUCACAGGUGUAGCCCAAAUUGCUUAAUGCCAAAAGGUCAUUCUGUGAGUCCAGGGGGAGGGCAUUAGUAGGGAGGACCAUGGCACUGGAGUUUGAUACCUGCAGAAACGUUGCCUCGUUUUUAUUUCUUUAAAUGCAAGCAUGUAUGUGGUUAGUUGGUGAAAACGUUACUGGGGAUAGAAGAAAAAAACCCCACCAACUAAGACUUCCUAGAUGUCAGUUAGUUUAAAAUAUGUAACCAUCUAUGUAUUGACAAGAGCAAAAGGCUAAAAAAAACUUCACUGUAAUGUUUUAAGUAGGAAUAGUUUUAAAGGGCAUUAAACACAUGUACAUAAACUGGGAGUGAGCUUCAUUUAAAUUGAAGGGUAGCAAAAAAGCAUCAAAUAAUUUCUGAGAUAUUGAAAGCUCUUCAAUUGCUGAUUGUCCGGAGAACGUGUGUAUCUUCAGACUUUGAUCUGAGUCUCUUGAAUUUUUGUCCUCAAGGAACUGAAGUUAAAUGGAUCCAACAUGGGUACACCCACAUCCAUUUCCUCCGCUGCUACGCUGUGGCCAGGAGGCGACGGCCAGCCUCAGAGGCCUUCCUCAUUGGGAUUUCUGGCUUUCUGCAGGUUCAGCUGUCCACACAGUGGCAUGGCUGUCUCAGCUCGACUCUAAGCAUUUCCACCAGCAAGAUCUGCUGACCAGUCUUCCCUAAAAGUCAGGGCUGUUGGUCAACAUACACCGGUUAGUGAAAACCAGGGUGAAAGUUAAUUCACCCCUAAGUUUCAGAAGAGUAAAAAUGGACAUGUUGAUUUCCUGUCCAGGCUAGGGAUCAGGACAGGUCAAGGGAGCUAGCUUUUGGCCUAGAUUUUUGCUGCCACCUGUUGUGGGCAUGCAGAUGACAUGAAUGAUGAAUCCUAGAUUUGUUUUGUGAUCAAGAAUGAGAACAAACAACAACCUGCCAUUGGAGGUUCAUUCCCCACUCAGGCGGGUGCUGUCUCUGCUCUGGCAAUGGGGCAGUGCUGAGACAGAGAUCAGCGCAAAGCAACCCUGCUUUCCGGCCACUGCUUGACUGUGGUGGAGGUGUCUGAUCACAAGAAGGGACAAAUGCUCCUCCAAGGGCAGCUGCUUUGCCUGCAGCAACGACUUGGAUGCCAAAACAUGAGGAUUUAAUAGGGACAGGCUUGGCCAAGCAUUCAAUUGUUUAGUCUACAUCAGGCUAAACCUCUGGGUGAUUAGAAACAUCUUUGGGGUUUGCGGGGCCACGUGAUCUGUCUGUUAUAGACUCAGCCCGGGUCAAGACCAAUGAAAGACACAUGGUCAGAGGAGGAUGUUUUCUGAGUAGGGGAGGAGAGGAGGAGGUAACAUCUGCUCAAGGCUAUAUUCAUUUCCUGAGGCUGCUGUACCCAGUACCCCAAAUGGGGUGGCAUAAAGCAACGGAAAUGUGUUCUCUCACCAUUUGAGAGUCCAGAAGUCUGAAGUCAAGCCAUCGGCAGGGCCAGGCUCCCUCUGAAACCUAUGGGGUAGAAUCCUUCCUCGCCUCUUCGUGGUUUCUCGUGGUUUGCCUGCAAAUGUUGGCAUUCUGUGGCUGGUAGACACAUCCCUCCCCUUUCUGCCUCUGGCAUGGCAUGGUGCCCUCUCCUGCAUGUCUGUGUCUCCACAGGGCUGUGUCCCCCCGAGUGUCACUCUCUCCUCUUCUCAUGAGGACACCGAUCACACUGGAUGAAGAGUCCACCCCUCUCCUAUAAGACCUCAUCUUCAUCUAACUAAUCACAUCUGCAACGACCUUUUUUCCAGAACCUAAAUCGCCAUGAUGUUUCUUGAUGGCCGUGGCCCCUAUACCCAGCGAUGUGUGUGAGCACCAUACUCAGAGCCCUGCGCAGAAAUUCCCAAGGUAUCAAAAACAAAUGAGAGAAGCCUUAUUCUUAUAUCAGCCAAGAAUGGGUGUGGACGUGAACAUUCUGGAAGGGAGACGCUGAUGAGUUAAGAAUGUCUAAGGCACACUUUGUGUUCUUUGCAACAUCCCAUGGGCAAGUACGCAGGGGACUGUGUCCUCGGGAUUCAGGGGAGCUCUUCCUUUGCCUGGCAUGGCCCUGGGUGCCUGGCGACCGACAUGUACCACCCCUGGGCAGAAGCUCUGUCUGGAUUCAGUGCACGCCCUGCUUGGGCCAGCACAGCUCUCGCGCAAAAGCACCUUUGCAGCUUCUGAUCUCAUCAUCCAGCUCUAGGCACUUGUUCAGGCCUGGCACUGCAGAUCUCCAGCCGAUGAAGCCCUGGGUGGUCUGUGGGACUGGCGGGGAUGGAAGGACCUGGAAUGGAAAUGCAGGGGAUUUAGUGACUUUGGGCCACAGAGACACGAGGCAUCCAGCGUCGGCAUGUGAGGCAGGGGUGGAAAAGACAAAAAGAAAAGCCAGCCUCCCUGAUGUGUACUGAAAACAAGCACAUUCCAAUCGGCUGGACUCAGAGGCUCCCAUCUUUCCUGGAAGUGAUGAACAUCAAACACGUUUCUU